CAGUCGCCACGGGAAAACGGAGGGUGCAAGCGUUAAUCGGAAUUAUUGGGCGUAAAGCGUGCGUAGGCGGUUCGUUAAGUCUGCUGUGAAAUCCCCGGGCUCAACCUGGGAAUGGCAGUGGAUACUGGCUCGCUAGAGUGUGUCAGAGGAUGGUGGAAUUCCCGGUGUAGCGGUGAAAUGCGUGGAGAUCGGGAGGAACAUCAGUGGCGAAGGCGGCCAUCUGGGACAACACUGACGCUGAGGCACGAAAGCGUGGGGAGCAAACAGGAUUAGAUACCCCCGUAGUCCCUGUCUCUUAUAA
rnacentral:rRNA from 1 species